UUCCCAUUUCGUCUCUCUCGCACUAUUUCUCUUAGCAGCACCACAUUUGUGAUCUCUCUCUCUCACUCACACACACAAUUCCUAUUACAAAAAGGGGCGGCGACGACAAGAGGCAGCGGCAAUAAAAGAAAAACUACAUUGUUUAGGUAUGAUUUUAAGUGUUUAUUAUAAGAUUUUCGUGACAAAUAUUUUUUUUUCACGUUAUUUGAUAAGAUUUGGGUCUCUCCAAUCACGAACACAUUAUUCCUAGUGACGUUAUUGGCCCUACGAUAGCAAAGUUCGUCAAACAGGAGCUGCAAAACUCGAAGACUAUAACUUCAAUUGGUGAUCUGAACAAUGCUCAUAAAGAAACAGUCAUGGAUAGCCCUAUUGAGAUUCCAAACAACAAGAAGGAGAAUCAGCAUCAAAGGAAGGAGAGAACGAGAUCCACAUUCAGAUCUUGAUUAUGUUCUACUACAGAAAGGAAUCAAGGGCUAGAGAUCUGAACGGAAGGAGUCAUUAUAUUCCGCUGCAACCAAUGUAAAGGAAAGGCGAAUGCUGAACAUGAGUGAGCUCUGAGCUUGGAUGGUGAUUGUACAUGUCGAGGCGACGCGACCUAGAGUGUUCAAUCGCAGGACAUCUUGGAUUGUAUUUUAUAGUCCAUGUGCGACAAGUUUAUAAAUGUAUUUUGAUAAUGUUUGUAAAAGAUUAAAUACAAGAUCCCAAUUUAUGUAGAUAAAUAUAUAAAAGUUUAUAAAGUUUAAUAAUUUAAAUCAAAAGUUAUAAUUUAGCACGAUUUUCAAGAAAAAUCAUUUGAUUAGCAAAUGUGCUACGUUAAUUAGAAAAUCACUGCAGCGCCUAAGUAUUAGGGUGUUACAACAUUGGUGCUAGAUUAGGGCACAUGCUCUUCUGAUUAGGCGAUGCGAUAUAUUGGUACCAGUUUGUUGCACGAGCUCACCUUAUUAGGUGAUGAGGUCAGAUGAUGUAUGGUGUCAGGUUAUGACACGGGCUUGCCUAAUUAGGUAAAGCAAUAUAUGAUUACUUCUUAUCGCCACGUAUACGAUCGAUUAUACUACAUACUCUUUGGAACAUACAUUGUUUGAUUAUUUUAUGAUAGUAA